CAACAAUCCUUAAACAGCGCUGCAAUCUGAUAUAUACCUUGUAUGGAUCUGACAGACGCUUGAAACAUUAGCAGCGCUGUUUAAAGGUCAUGAGACGGCGACCUGGUGCUUGCUGACUCCGAGGAGACCAGCUCCGGGAGCGACGCCGAGCUCGCGCUGCCCGACUACUGGCGGUGCGCGCAGUGCGGCGCGCAGAAUAACACCCCGCUGUACCGGUACUGCCAGAGCUGCUUCAAGGUGAAUAUGUCAUGUGUCAGGGGUGCCUAGAUCUUGACCGUAGUCCUGAUAGUCAGCGCUGACCGUCGCGUUGCAAAAAUGCAUUCAGUGCUACGCUGACGGCGAACUGACGCUGUCAGCGAAGCACUGAACGCGUCCCUGCAAGCCCAUAAUUCGUCGGUCGCCGCCACCGGGCGUACCAAAUCACUACUAGUCAAGCAAAUAGACUUGCAUAGAUAUAACUACGUCAACCGAC